rnacentral:rRNA from 1 species
CAGCAGCCGCGGGAAAACGUAGGGUGCAAGCGUUAAUCGGAAUUACUGGGCGUAAAGCGUGCGCAGGCGGUUUUGUAGGUCUGUCGUGAAAUCCCCGGGCUCAACCUGGGAAUGGCGAUGGAGACUGCAAGGCUAGAAUCUGGCAGAGGGGGGUAGAAUUCCACGUGUAGCAGUGAAAUGCGUAGAUAUGUGGAGGAACACCGAUGGCGAAAGCGAGGUCCUGGACCCUUUCUGACGCUGAGACGCGAAAGCCAGGGGAGCGAACGGGAUUAGAUACCCGUGUAGUCCCUGUCUCUUAUAC